rnacentral:rRNA from 1 species
GCUAACUCUGUGCCAGCAGCCGCGGUAAUACAGAGGGUGCAAGCGUUAAUCGGAAUUACUGGGCGUAAAGCGCGCGUAGGCGGUUCGAUAAGUCGGGUGUGAAAGCCCCGGGCUCAACCUGGGAAUUGCAUUCGAUACUGUCGAGCUAGAGUAUGGUAGAGGAAAGCGGAAUUCCACAUGUAGCGGUGAAAUGCGUAGAUAUGUGGAGGAACAUCAGUGGCGAAGGCGGCUUUCUGGACCAAUACUGACGCUGAGGCGCGAAAGCGUGGGGAGCAAACAGGAUUAGAUACCCCAGUAGUC